CCUGAUAUCUUAAUCCGAGCUUGCCGGAGGUCUUCCGAGUUGAAGUUUGAAGAACAAGGGAAUGUCUUAUGAGUCAGUAAUGGACACAAAACUAUCGCUUCCAUCACUCCCUUAUCAUCAUCACCAUCAUCAUCAUCAUCAUCAUCAUCGUCAUCCAUCUCCAGUUUGGAAUAGUUACUUGGAGCAUCUUUGAUACUCCCAUGGUGGUGCUCUGCUGGCCUCAGAUGGAAUCGUUGCCAUCAAUAGGCUUGGGCCAUUUGGUGCCAUUGAUCAACCAUUGCCCGUCCUCUGGAGAUGCGGAUGGAUGGUUAGCGAAGUCUUGUGUCCAACACCGACGCAAAAGACUCUCUCUUUGGAAACGAUUGCGGAGGAUGACUCGCCUGAGGGCGAUGAUUGUCUGCCGUGGGUGCGGCGGAACGGUGAACAUCGAACGGCCAAGAUGACAUGCCCCUAUUUCAUUCCUACCAGCGAAUGCUCGUCGCACCGCUGCAUGCGCCCAGGGGAUUUUUUUUUCCCUCCCGUGAUUGUCUAUGAGAAGAAAUUUAGAAUUUUACACUACAGUAAUUUCGCUCAUCAACCCCCAAUGUGUUUGCAUAGUUCUGGUGAUGUAAGAACAUUUGAUUAAGAUUAAAGUUCUGGUGAUGUGAAUAUUUGAUCGGACUCCUAUGUUAUCGUUAUUUCUCA